ACACACACCAUGUCCCCACUAGACACAGGUAGGUACCAACACACACCAUGUCCCCACUAGACACAGGUAGGUACCAACACACACCAUGUCCACACUAGACACAGGUAGGUACCAACACACACCAUGUCCACACUAGACACAGGUAGGUACCAACACACACCAUGUCCACACUAGACACAGGUACCGACACACACCAUGUCCCCACUAGACACAGGUAGGUACCAACACACACCAUGUCCCCACUAGACACAGGUACCAACACACACCAUGUCCCCACUAGACACAGGUAGGUACCAACACACACCAUGUCCCCACUAGACACAGGUAGGUACCAACACACACCAUGUCCCCACUAGACACAGGUACCGACACACACCAUGUCCCCACUAGACACAGGUAGGUACCGACACACACCAUGUCCCCACUAGACACAGGUGGGUACCAACACACACCAUGUCCCCACUAGACACAGGUAGGUACCAACACACACCAUGUCCCCACUAGACACAGGUAGGUACCAACACACACCAUGUCCCCACUAGACACAGGUAGGUACCAACACACACCAUGUCCCCACUAGACACAGGUACCAACACACACCAUGUCCCCACUAGACACAGGUACCAACACACACCAUGUUCCCACUAGACACAGGUAGGUACCAACACACACCAUGUCCCCACUAGACACAGGUAGGUACCAACACACACCAUGUCCCCACUAGACACAGGUAGGUACCAACACACACCAUGUCCCCACUAGACACAGGUAGGUACCAACACACACCAUGUCCCCACUAGACACAGAUAGGUACCAACACACACCAUGUCCCCACUAGACACAGGUAGGUACCAACACACACCAUGUCCCCACUAGACACAGGUACCGACACACACCAUGUCCCCACUAGACACAGGUAGGUACCAACACACACCAUGUCCCCACUAGACACAGGUACCAACACACACCAUGUCCCCACUAGAAACAGGUACCAACACACACCAUGUCCCCACUAGACACAGGGAGGUACCAACACACACCAUGUCCCCACUAGACACAGGGAGGUACCAACACACACCAUGUCCCCACUAGACACAGGGAGGUACCAACACACACCAUGUCCCCACUAGACACAGGUACCAACACACACCAUGUCCCCACUAGACACAGGGAGGUACCAACACACACCAUGUCCCCACUAGACACAGGUAGGUACCAACACACACCAUGUCCCCACUAGACACAGGGAGGUACCAACACACACCAUGUCCCCACUAGACACAGGGAGGUACCAACACACACCAUGUCCCCACUAGACACAGGUACCAACACACACCAUGUCCCCACUAGACACAGGUAGGUACCAACACACACCAUGUCCCCACUAGACACAGGUAGGUACCGACACACACCAUGUCCCCACUAGACACAGGUAGGUACCGACACACACCAUGUCCCCACUAGACACAGGUAGGUACCGACACACACCAUGUCCCCACUAGACACAGGUAGGUACCGACACACACCAUGUCCCCACUAGACACAGGUACCAACACACACCAUGUCCCCACUAGACACAGGUACCAACACACACCAUGUCCCCACUAGACACAGGUACCAACACACACCAUGUUCCCACUAGACACAGGUAGGUACCAACACACACCAUGUCCCCACUAGACACAGGUAGGUACCAACACACACCAUGUCCCCACUAGACACAGGUAGGUACCAACACACACCAUGUCCCCACUAGACACAGGUAGGUACCAACACACACCAUGUCCCCACUAGACACAGGUACCAACACACACCAUGUCCCCUCUAGACACAGGUAGGUACCAACACACACCAUGUCCCCACUAGACACAGGUAGGUACCAACACACACCAUGUCCCCACUAGACACAGGUAGGUACCAACACACACCAUGUCCCCACUAGACACAGGUACCAACACACACCAUGUCCCCACUAGACACAGGUACCAACACAAACCAUGUCCCCACUAGACACAGGUACCAACACACACCAUGUCCCCACUAGACACAGGUACCAACACACACCAUGUCCCCACUAGACACAGGUAGGUACCAACACACACCAUGUCCCCACUAGACACAGGUACCGACACACACCAUGUCCCCACUAGACACAGGUACCGACACACACCAUGUCCCCACUAGACACAGGUACCGACACACACCAUGUCCCCACUAGACACAGGUAGGUACCAACACACACCAUGUCCCCACUAGACACAGGUAGGUACCAACACACACCAUGUCCCCACUAGACACAGGUAGGUACCAACACACACCAUGUCCCCACUAGACACAGGUAGGUACCGACACACACCAUGUCCCCACUAGACACAGGUAGGUACCGACACACACCAUGUCCCCACUAGACACAGGUAGGUACCGACACACACCAUGUCCCCACUAGACACAGGUACCGACACACACCAUGUCCCCACUAGACACAGGUACCGACACACACCAUGUCCCCACUAGACACAGGUACCAACACACACCAUGUCCCCACUAGACACAGGUACCAACACACACCAUGUCCCCACUAGACACAGGUAGGUACCAACACACACCAUGUCCCCACUAGACACAGGUACCAACACACACCAUGUCCCCACUAGACACAGGUAGGUACCAACACACACCAUGUCCCCUCUAGACACAGGUACCAACACACACCAUGUCCCCACUAGACACAGGUAGGUACCAACACACACCAUGUCUCCUCUAGACACAGAUAGGUACCAACACACACCAUGUCCCCUCUAGACACAGGUAGGUACCAACACACACCAUGUCCCCACUAGACACAGGUACCAACACACACCAUGUCCCCUCUAGACACAGGUACCAACACACACCAUGUCCCCACUAGACACAGGUACCAACACACACCAUGUCCCCACUAGACACAGGUACCAACACACACCAUGUCCCCACUAGACACAGGUACCAACACACACCAUGUCCCCACUAGACACAGGUACCAACACACACCAUGUCUCCUCUAGACACAGGUAGGUACCAACACACACCAUGUCCCCACUAGACACAGGUACCAACACACACCAUGUCCCCACUAGACACAGGUACCAACACACACCAUGUCCCCACUAGACACAGGUACCAACACACACCAUGUCCCCACUAGACACAGGUACCAACACACACCAUGUCCCCACUAGACACAGGUACCAACACACACCAUGUCCCCACUAGACACAGGUAGGUACCAACACACACCAUGUCCCCACUAGACACAGGUAGGUACCAACACACACCAUGUCCACACUAGACACAGGUAGGUACCAACACACACCAUGUCCACACUAGACACAGGUAGGUACCAACACACACCAUGUCCCCACUAGACACAGGGAGGUACCAACACACACCAUGUCCCCACUAGACACAGGGAGGUACCAACACACACCAUGUCCCCACUAGACACAGGUACCAACACACACCAUGUCCCCACUAGACACAGGUAGGUACCGACACACACCAUGUCCCCACUAGACACAGGUAGGUACCGACACACACCAUGUCCCCACUAGACACAGGUAGGUACCGACACACACCAUGUCCCCACUAGACACAGGUAGGUACCGACACACACCAUGUCCCCACUAGACACAGGUAGGUACCGACACACACCAUGUCCCCACUAGACACAGGUACCGACACACACCAUGUCCCCACUAGACACAGGUACCGACACACACCAUGUCCCCACUAGACACAGGUAGGUACCAACACACACCAUGUCCCCACUAGACACAGGUACCAACACACACCAUGUCCCCUCUAGACACAGGUACCAACACACACCAUGUCCCCACUAGACACAGGUACCAACACACACCAUGUCCCCACUAGACACAGGUACCAACACAAACCAUGUCCCCACUAGACACAGGUACCAACACACACCAUGUCCCCACUAGACACAGGUACCAACACACACCAUGUCCCCACUAGACACAGGUAGGUACCAACACACACCAUGUCCCCACUAGACACAGGUACCAACACACACCAUGUCCCCUCUAGACACAGGUACCAACACACACCAUGUCCCCACUAGACACAGGUAGGUACCAACACACACCAUGUCCCCACUAGACACAGGUAGGUACCAACACACACCA